UUUUGUCACAUAUAAUACAUA
rnacentral:miRNA from 1 species